rnacentral:lncRNA from 1 species
UUCCUUUCUUUUUGAUUUUUAUUUUUUCUUACUUAAAACAAUUGUUAAAUUUAAAUAUAUUUUGAUCAUAUUUCCCCUGCCCUAUAUCUUUCCAGAUCCUCUCCCUCUCCCUAUGCACCCUACUUCAAGUUCUUUUGCAAAAACCCAAUACAACCCCCACCACCCUGCCAAAAACAAAAUAAUGCCCAAGAAGGAAGAAACAAAACCCCACUAAAUUGACCAAGCCCCUACACACACACACACACACACACACACACACACACACAAAAAGUGUGUAGUCUGUCAUACAUUGGUCAACUACCUAAUGUGAGGCCAUUCUGGAGUGGUUGAAAGACCAGUGUGUAUCAACUCUAUUGGAGAAAAUGAAUUUUCCCUCUCCCAGCAAGUAUAAAGGGCAGCUCAGUUGUUAACCCUUACCCUAAUAAAGUUAUAACAAAAUAUAAUAACAUAAAACAAAAAAAUAUCACUUCAGAGUUGGACAAAACAAACCAACAGAAGGAAGGAAGCUCAGGAAAAGGCACGGGAGGGACAGGGAUGGUGUGAGGACAAGAUGUAGCUACUGGUGUUUCCCGGCUUAUGGCAAAUGUGCCAGGAUUCACCACCGGAGAAAUUAGCUUUAAUAUGGCUUACAAGAUUAGGAUUCUAGUUGUUGCACCCAGAGAUUGAGUUACCAUUGUUUCUGAACUAAGUUUGUGGGGUGUUUUUCUUCUCACAGCGAUUCGACUGGGUUCCAGAGAGAAAGGUGAACCUGUAGCUAAAAGAAAAGGAAAAAGGAGAAAGGAAGGAAAGGGAAGGGGAAAGG